rnacentral:rRNA from 1 species
UACGUAGGGAGCAAGCGUUGUCCGGAAUCAUUGGGCGUAAAGCGCGCGUAGGUGGCCUCAUAAGUCCGUUGUGAAAGUCAAAGGCUCAACCUUUGAAAGCCGAUGGAUACUGUGAGGCUAGAGUCCGGAAGAGGCGAGUGGAAUUCCUGGUGUAGCGGUGGAAUGCGCAGAUAUCAGGAGGAACACCAAUAGCGAAGGCAGCUCGCUGGGACGGUACUGACGCUGAGACGCGAAAGCGUGGGGAGCGAACAGG